CCUACGGGGGGCAGCAGUGGGGAAUAUUGGACAAUGGGCGAAAGCCUGAUCCAGCCAUGCCGCGUGUGUGAAGAAGGCCUUCGGGUUGUAAAGCACUUUCAGUGGGGAAGAAAGCCUUGGGGCUAAUACCCUCGAGGAAGGACAUCACCCACAGAAGAAGCACCGGCUAACUCCGUGCCAGCAGCCGCGGUAAUACGGAGGGUGCGAGCGUUAAUCGGAAUUACUGGGCGUAAAGCGCGCGUAGGCGGUCUGAUAAGCCGGUUGUGAAAGCCCCGGGCUCAACCUGGGAACGGCAUCCGGAACUGGCAGGCUAGAGUGCAGGAGAGGAAGGUAGAAUUCCCGGUGUAGCGGUGAAAUGCGUAGAGAUCGGGAGGAAUACCAGUGGCGAAGGCGGCCCUCUGGACUGACACUGACGCUGAGGUGCGAAAGCGUGGGUAGCAAACAGGAUUAGAUACCCCAGUAGUC
rnacentral:rRNA from 1 species